GCCUGGUGUGGCUCCGUCAGGGCAAGGUCUUCCACCCACUGCCUUGACACCACCAGCUCCUCCUCCCCUCGGGAAUGGUGUAUCGCCUCCGGCACCUGGGAUUGUAUCGCCUCCGGCACCUGGGAUUGUAUCGCCUCCGGCACCUGGGAUUGUAUCGCCUCCGGCACCUGGGAUUGUAUCGCCUCCGGCACCUGGGAUUGUACCUCCUCCUGCGCCCGGGGCUACAUCUCCUCCUGCUCCUGUUCCUUCAUCGCCACUGCUGACAUCUCCACCUCCUGCUCUG
rnacentral:lncRNA from 1 species